rnacentral:rRNA from 1 species
GAUGAACGCUAGCGGCAGGCCUAAUACAUGCAAGUCGAACGCUCAGUAGCAAUACUGGGAGUGGCGCACGGGUGCGUAACGCGUACACAAUCUACCUCUAAGCGGGGGACACCUCCUGGAAACGGGGAUUAAUACCGCAUAAUAUGCCGAAGUCGCAUGACUUUGGUAUUAAAGCAGCAAUGCACUUAGAGAUGAGUGUGCGUCCCAUUAGGUAGUUGGUGAGGUAACGGCUCACCAAGCCUAUGAUGGGUAGCCGGUCUGAGAGGAUGGUCGGCCACACGGGCACUGAGACACGGGGCCCGACUCCUACGGGAGGCAGCAGUAAGGAAUAUUGGUCAAUGGUGGAAACACUGAACCAGCCAUGCCGCGUGGAGGAAUAAGGUCCUACGGAUUGUAAACUCCUUUUGACGAGGAAGGAAAAUAGUUAGAUUUAUCUAAUUUUGACGGUACUCGUAGAAUAAGCACCGGCUAACUCCGUGCCAGCAGCCGCGGUAA